AGUGAUUAAGAGUGUCGCGACGGAGAGCGUCGAAGGGAAGGAGUGAGCCUACCUGGAGUCUCCGUCGCAGUAGUUAAUACUAAAUUAUGAACCUUUAGGACGGAAAAUGGUUACAUUUGGACAUUUUUUGAAUGUGGAUGAGUCGGCCUUUAGGGAUCGCAGAGAUCCAAUUCGAAGGCGAUAUCUUAUCGACUAAUAGGGGAUGACCACAAGGAAACAGGAUUUAAAGUCCGGCAACAGGUAUUAAGACAUUGGCCUCGAGUGCCGUAACUCAAACGAAAUCGGAUAUGCCCAUGAUGGAACCGGGGACAAAUUGUUUUCGUUAGGAAUUCUUUUGUUCCUGGAAGAAUAUCUUGCCGAGAUAAGGACGUGGUUUCGUAAGAGCAUUUCAUUUCUCGAGAAUGUUCGGGAUCUUUCUACCAGCUCUUGGAAAUCUGAAGGAGAGAGUGUAAUUUUCAUCCCAAUCCGUACCCAUAUCCGCAGCAGUCGGCAACGUGAACCGCCAAUAGUCUAUGGAACAAUUUUGAUAUAAGAAGUCUGCCGUUUCGAUCCGUAACUUCGGGAUAAAUUUUGGCUCUGAAGUUAGGGCAGCGGUAGGAAGCGCUGAGUUUCGCUCGUGCGGACUGGGAGGUAGGUCCAUCCUCGCGUGGAGAAACGGCGUAGAAUGGAUCAGCGAGGCGGUGGAUUCAGAUCGAACGUGUGGGACCGUUUUGGGGGGGCGCUUGACGGCCUAAUCGAAACUGGCACGAGCUAGGAGAAUACGAUUCUCUUAAUUAAAGCACUACGAUCAGUGUUGACGCAAUGUGAUUUGUGUCCAGUGCUCUGAUUGUCAAGAUGAAGAAUUUCAUCGGAGCUCGGAUAAAACGGCGAGACUAACUAU
rnacentral:rRNA from 1 species